ACGCUCUGUUUGGCUUCUCUGUUUUACAACAUGAAGACGGCGGAGAGAAAUCGAUGCUGGUCGGUGCUCCGUGGGACGGGCCGCCCAACAACAGGAAAGGAGAUGUUUACAAAUGCAUUGUGGGAGAGGAGAGGAACUCAAACUGCAGCAAAAUAAAUCUAGGUGAGACUGCUCUCCAGAACGUUUCUAAAAACCUGAGGAAUUCUCACCUGGGAAUGACGCUCACUCCAGACUCGCCUGAUGGAUUCCUG